AUUGAACGCUGGCGGCAUGCCUUACACAUGCAAGUCGAACGGCAGCAUGGAGAGCUUGCUCUCUGAUGGCGAGUGGCGAACGGGUGAGUAAUGCAUCGGAACGUACCGUGUAAUGGGGGAUAACGUAGCGAAAGUUACGCUAAUACCGCAUACGACCUGAGGGUGAAAGCAGGGGAUCGCAAGACCUUGCGUUAUACGAGCGGCCGAUGUCAGAUUAGCUAGUUGGUGAGGUAAAGGCUCACCAAGGCGACGAUCUGUAGCGGGUCUGAGAGGAUGAUCCUCCACACUGGGACUGAGACACGGCCCAGACUCAUACGGGAGGCGGCAGUGGGGAAUUUUGGAGAAUGGGGGAAAACCUGAUCCAGCCAUGCCGCGUGAGUGAAGAAGGCCUUCGGGUUGUAAAGCUCUUUCGGCCGGGAAGAAAUCGCACAGGCUAAUACUCUGUGUGGAUGACGGUACCGGCAUAAGAAGCACCGGCUAACUACGUGCCAGCCGCCGCGGUAA
rnacentral:rRNA from 1 species